GAACGGGUGAGUAACGUGGGCAAUCUGCCCUGCACUCUGGGACAACCCUGGAAACGGGUAAUACCGGAUACGACACGGGAAGGUUUCGUGUGGAAAGUCCGGCGGUGCAGGAUGAGCCCGCGGCCUAUCAGCUGGUUGGUGGGGUAAUGGCCUACCAGGCGACGACGGGUAGCCGGCCUGAGAGGGCGACCGGCCACACUGGGACUGAGACACGGCCCAGACUCCUACGGGAGGCAGCAGUGGGGAAUAUUGCACAAUGGGCGAAAGCCUGAUGCAGCGACGCCGCGUGAGGGAUGACGGCCUUCGGGUUGUAAACCUCUUUCAGCAGGGAAGAAGGACGGUACCUGCAGAAGAAGCACCGGCU
rnacentral:rRNA from 1 species